CGAUUAGGGAAUAUUGGUCAAUGGGUGAGAGCCUGAACCAGCCAUGCCGCGUGCAGGAAGAAGGCCUUCUGGGUUGUAAACUGCUUUCGCCAGGGGAUAAAAAUACCUUGCGAGGUAAAUUGAAGGUACCUGGUGAAUAAGCCACGGCUAACUACGUGCCAGCAGCCGCGGUAAUACGUAGGUGGCAAGCGUUGUCCGGAUUUAUUGGGUUUAAAGGGUGCGUAGGCGGCCCUGUAAGUCAGUGCUGAAAUAUCCCAGCUUAACUGGGAGGGUGGCAUUGAUACUGCGGGGCUAGAGUACAGAUGAGGU
rnacentral:rRNA from 1 species